GCGGAGGGAUCAUUACUGAGUUACCGCUCUAUAACCCUUUGUGAACAUACCUAACCGUUGCUUCGGCGGGUUAGGGCGCCCCCCCGGGGACGCCCUCCCGGCCGCGCCCCACCCGGGGCGGGGCGCCCGCCGGAGGAUAACCAAACUCUGUUUUAACGACGUUUCCUCUGAGUGGCACAAGCAAAUAAUUAAAACUUUUAACAACGGAUCUCUUGGUUCUGGCAUCGAUGAAGAACGCAGCGAAAUGCGAUAAGUAAUGUGAAUUGCAGAAUUCAGUGAAUCAUCGAAUCUUUGAACGCACAUUGCGCCCGCCAGCAUUCUGGCGGGCAUGCCUGUUCGAGCGUCAUUUUCAACCCUCAAGCCCGGCUUGGUGUUGGGGCCCUACGGUCGACGUAGGCCCUUAAAGAUAGUGGCGGACCCUCCCGGAGCCUCCUUUGCGUAGUAACUAACGUCUCGCAUCGGAUCCGGAGGGACUCCUGCCGUAAAACCCCCAUCUUUUUACUGGUUGACCUCGGAUCAGGUAGGAUACCGCUGAACUUAAGCAUAUCAUAGAGCAGAGAA
rnacentral:rRNA from 1 species